rnacentral:rRNA from 1 species
AGAGUUUGAUCCUGGCUCAGGACGAACGCUGGCGGCGUGCUUAACACAUGCAAGUCGAGCGGUAAGGCCCUUCGGGGUACACGAGCGGCGAACGGGUGAGUAACACGUGGGUGACCUGCCCUCCACUCUGGGAUAAGCCUGGGAAACCGGGUCUAAUACCGGAUAGGACUCCUGGAUGCAUGUCUAGGGGUGGAAAGUUUUUUCGGUGGGGGGAUGGGCCCGCGGUCUAUCAGCUUGUUGGUGGGGUGAUGGCCUACCAAGGCGACGACGGAUAGCCGGCCUGAGAGGGUGAUCGGCCACACUGGGACUGAGACACGGCCCAGACUCCUACGGGAGGCAGCAGUGGGGAAUCUUGCGCAAUGGGCGGAAGCCUGACGCAGCAACGCCGCGUGGGGGAUGACGGCCUUCGGGUUGUAAACCUCUUUCGCGAUCGACGAAGGUCCACUUUGAAGUGGGCUGACGGUAGGUCGAGAAGAAGCACCGGCCAACUACGUGCCAGCAGCCGCGGUAAUACGUAGGGUGCGAGCGUUGUCCGGAAUUAUUGGGCGUAAAGAGCUCGUAGGCGGUGUGUCGCGUCGGCCGUGAAAACCUGGGGCUCAACUCUGGGCGUGCGGUCGAUACGGGCAUCACUUGAGUUCGGCAGGGGAGACUGGAAUUCCUGGUGUAGCGGAAAUGCGCAGAUAUCAGGAGGAACACCGGUGGCGAAGGCGGGUCUCUGGGCCGAUACUGACGCUGAGGAGCGAAAGCAUGGGUAGCGAACAGGAUUAGAUACCCCAGUAGUCC